UGUUGUGAUGAAAACCCAUAUCCAAAAGCAUAGUUCAACUGAGACGUCACGUCUUUGAACGAGAACAAUUCCAUCUUUCAAUCUUCUGAAC
rnacentral:snoRNA from 1 species